AAUAAAGCACUCUGCGAUACCUUUGUCAGAUAAAAACUGACUUUGUCCCAUGUACACAUGCAAGCUGACAAUGAGCAGGCAUCUGAGGAUGCAUGAUAAUCAUACUGGAUUGUAUUUGGCAAGUAGCCGUCCAUUCCUUCCAUGACGAAGCUGGUAAUACAGAUCAUUGAACUCCUUUUUUUAAAACAAUAUUACUCCAAGAAGGCAAUGUUAUUAGUAGCUCAUGUCUUUAGAUAAUGGAAGACUAAAACAAGAUUAAUGACUGCAAUGACUGACUGGGAAGUGACAAUGUAUAAAUAGCUCCUGUACCUCAGGUUGUAUAUUAGCCUCACAUUCAGCAUCACAUCAUCCAUCAUCCAUGAAGGAAGCAUUCAGAUCCGCGCUGAAGCCACAGAAACAACACAAGCAUAUGGAAAGCAGCGGCGGCACAGCUUGAGCAUCCAGCCAUGGGUGGGGUGAGCCGUCAUAAACAACAUACCGGACACUGGCAUGUCCGCCGUCCCCAUAAGCCUCGGGGAUCUGGUUCGCUUACGCGCGCGUGGCCCAUCCAUCCUGGACGGUCUCAUCCUCCUGGCAGGCUUCGUCGGCGCACGAUGGAGCCGCCGCCAGCUCCUUGCUUUGUACCUCUUCGCCAUGCCGGCGUAAUGCUCAUCACGCUCCUCGUUUUUGCCUUUGUCGUCACCAGCGGUCCGGACGUGAGGCCCGAGGCUGUGGAGAGGCGUGGCCAGCAGAGAGGGGGCAUGCUGUUUCGCGCAAUCUCCGUGUGCGUUGAAGCUGCCGUCAUGAUCCCACCGUUAGAGAAAGUAUUGAAGUCAUGGAGCUGGGGAUCCCAACUCAUUGAAUUGAUUCCUCCAUACUUCACAUCUCAAUGAUUAUAUAUCCUAAUGAGAAAUGUAAAGAAACUUUCAAUUACUUACCUGUAUCAGAAAUAAAGCACUCUGCGAUACCUUUGUCAGAUAAAAACUGACUUUGUCCCAUGUACACAUGCAAGCUGACAAUGAGCAGGCAUCUGAGGAUGCAUGAUAAUCAUACUGGAUUGUAUUUGGCAAGUAGCCGUCCAUUCCUUCCAUGACGAAGCUGGUAAUACAGAUCAUUGAACUCCUUUUUUUAAAACAAUAUUACUCCAAGAAGGCAAUGUUAUUAGUAGCUCAUGUCUCUAGAUAAUGGAAGACUAAAACAAGAUUAAUGACUGCAAUGACUGACUGGGACGUGACAAUGUAUAAAUAGCUCCUGUACCUCAGGUUGUAUCUUAGCCUCACAUUCAGCAUCACAUCAUCCAUCAUCCAUGAAGGAAGCAUUCAGAUCCGCGUUGAACCCACAGAAACAACACAAGCAUAUGGAAAGCAGCGGCGGCACAGCUUGAGCAUCCAGCCAUGGGUGGGCUGAGCCAUGAGAAUCAACAUACCGGACACUGGCAUGUGCGCCGUCCCCGUAAGCCUCGGGGAUCUGGUUCGCUUACGCGCGCGUGGCCCGUCCAUCCUGGGCGGUCUCAUCCUCCUGGUAGCCUUCGUCGGCGCAUGAUGGAGCCGCCGCCAGCUCCUUGCAUUGUACCUCUUCGCCAUGCCGGCGUAAUGCUCAUCACGCUCCUCGUUUUUGCCUUUGCCGUCACCAGCGGUCCAGAGGUGAGGCCCGAGGCUGCGGAGAGGCGUGGCCAGCAGAGGGGGGGCGUGCUGUUUCGCCCAAUCUCUGUGUGCGCUGAAGCUGUCGUCAUGAUCCCACGGUUAGAGAAAGUAUUGAAGUCAUGGAGCUGGGGAUCCCAACUCAUUGAUUUGAUUCCUCCAAACUUCACAUCUCAAUGAUUAUAUAUCCUAAUGAGAAAUAUAAAGAAACUGUCAAUUACUUACCUGUAUCAGAAAUAAAGCACUCUGCGAUACCUUUGUCAGAUAAAAACUGACUUUGUCCCAUGCAUACAUGCAAGCUGACAAUGAGCAGGCAUCUAAGGAUGCAUGAUAAUCAUCCUAGAUUAUAUUUGGCAAGUAGCCGUCCAUUCCUUCCAUGACAAAGCUGGUAAUACAGAUCAUUGAGCACCUUUUUUUUAAACAAUAUUACUCCAAGAAGGCAAUGUUAUUAGUAGCUCAUGUCUCUACAUAAUGGAUGAAUAAAAUAAGAUUAAUGACUGCAAUGACUGACUGGGAAGUGACAAUGUAUAAAUAGCUCCUGUACCUUAGGUUGUAAUAGCCUCGCAUUCAGCAUCGCAUCAUCCAUCAUCCAUGAAGGAAGCCUUCAGAUCCGCGCAGAACCCACAGCAGACACAGAAACAACACAAGCAUAUGGAAAGCAGCGGCGGCACAGCUUGAGCAUCCAACCAUGGGUGGGGUGAGCCGUGAGAAACAACAUACCGGACACUGGCAUGUGCGCCGUCCCCGUAAGCCUCGGGGAUCUGGUUUGCUUACGCGCGCGUGGCCCGUGUAUCCUGGGCAGUCUCAUCCUCCUGGCAGGCUUCGUCGGCGAUGAUGGAGCCGCCGCCAGCUCCUUGCUUUGUACCUCUUCGCCAUGACGGCGUAAUGCUCAUCACGCUCCUCGUUUUUUCCUUUGCCGUCACCAGCAGUCUGGAGGUGAGGCCCGAGGCUGCGGAGAGGCAUGCCCAGCAGAGGGGGGGCGUGCUGUUUCGCCCAAUCUCCGUGUGCGCUGAAGCUGCCAUCACGAUCCCACCGUUAGAGAACGUAUUUAAGUCAUGGAGUUGGGGAUCCCAACUCAUUGAUUUGAUUCCUCCAAACUUCACAUCUCAAUGAUUAUAUAUCCUAAUGAGAAAUAUAAAGAAACUGUCAAUUACUUACCUGUAUUAGAAAUAAAGCACUCUGCAAUAUCUUUGUCAGAUAAAAACUGACUUUGUCCCAUGUACACAUGCAAGCUGGCAAUGAGCAGGCAUCUGAGGAUGCAUGAUAAUCAUCCUGGAUUAUAUUUGGCAAGUAGCCGUCCAUUCCUUCCAUUACGAAGCUGGUAAUACAGAUCAUUGAACUCCUUUUUUUUAAACAAUAUUACUCCAAGAAGGCAAUGUUAUUAGCAGCUCAUGUCUCUACAUAAUGAAAGACUAAAACAAGAUUAAUGACUGCAAUGACUGACUGGGAAGUGACAAUGUAUAAAUAGCUCCUGUACCUCAGGUUGUAUCUUAGCCUCGCAUUCAGCAUCACAUCAUCCAUCAUCCAUGAAUGAAGCCUUCAGAUCCGCGCUGAACCCACAGCAGACACAGAAACAACACAAGCAUAUGGAAAGCAGCGGCGGCAUAGCUUGAGCAUCCAGCCAUGGGUGGGGUGAGCCAUGAGAAACAACAUACCGGACACUGGCAUGUGCGUCGUCCCCGUAAGCCUCGGGGAUCUGGUUCGCUUACGCGUGCGUGGCCCGUCCAUCCUGGGCGGUCUCAUCCUCCUGGCAGGCUUCGUCGGCGCAUGAUGGAGCCGCCGCCAGCUCCUUGCUUUGUACCUCUUCGCCAUGCCGGCGUAAUGCUCAUCACGCUCCUCGUUUUUGCCUUUGCCGUCACCAGCGGUCCGGAGGUGAGGCCCGAGGCUGCGGAGAGGCGUGGCCAGCAGAGGGGGGGGGGCGUGCUGUUUCGCCCAAUCUCUGUGUGCGCUGAAGCUGUCGUCAUGAUCCCACCGUUAGAGAAAGUAUUCAAGUCAUGGAGCUGGGGAUCCGAACUCAUUGAUUUGAUUCCUCCAAACUUCACAUCUCAAUGAUUAUAUAUCCUAAUGAGAAAUAUAAAGAAACUGUCAAUUACUUACCUGUAUCAGAAAUAAAGCACUCUGCGAUACCUUUGUCAGAUAAAAACUGACUUUGUCCCAUGCAUACAUGCAAGUUGACAAUGAGCAGGCAUCUAAGGAUGCAUGAUAAUCAUCCUAGAUUAUAUUUGUCAAAUAGACGUCCAUUCCUUCCAUGACAAAGCUGGUAAUACAGAUCAUUGAGCACCUUUUUUUUAAACAAUAUUACUCCAAGAAGGCAAUGUUAUUAGUAGCUCAUGUCUCUACAUAAUGGAUGACUAAAACAAGAUUAAUGACUGCAAUGACUGACUGGGAAGUGACAAUGUAUAAAUAGCUCCUGUACCUCAGGUUGUAUCUUAGCCUCGCAUUCAGCAUCACAUCAACCAUCAUCCAUGAAGGAAGCCUUCAGAUCCGUGCAGAACCCACAACAGACACAGAAACAACACAAGCAUAUGGAAAGCAGCGGCGGCACAACUUGAGCAUCCAACCAUGGGUGGGGUGAGCCGUGAGAAACAACAUACCGGACACUGGCAUGUGCGCCGUCCCCGUAAGCCUCGGGGAUCUGGUUUGCUUACGUGGGCGUGGCCCGUCCAUCCUGGGCGGUCUCAUCCUCCUGGCAGGCUUCGUCGGCGAUGGAGCCGCCGCCAGCUCCUUGCUUUGUACCUCUUCGCCAUGCUGGCGUAAUGCUCAUCACGCUCCUCGUUUUUGCCUUUGCUGUCACCAGCGGUCCGGAGGUGAGGCCCGAGGCUGCGGAGAGGCAUGGCCAGCAGAGGGGGGGGUGCUGUUUCGCCCAAUCUCCGUGUGCGCUGAAGCUGCCGUCAUGAUCCCACCAUUAGAGAACGUAUUUAAGUCAUGGAGCUGGGGAUCCCAACUCAUUGGUUUGAUUCCUCCAAACUUCACAUCUCAAUGAUUAUAUAUCCUAAUGAGAAAUAUAAAGAAACUAUCAAUUACUUACCUGUAUUAGAAAUAAAGCACUCUGCGAUAUCUUUGUCAGAUAAAAACUGACUUUGUCCCAUGUACACAUGCAAGCUGGCAAUGAGCAGGCAUCUGAGGAUGCAUGAUAAUCAUCCUGGAUUAUAUUUGGCAAGUAGCCGUCCAUUCCUCCAUGACGAAGCUGGUAAUACAGAUCAUUGAACUCCUUUUUUUUAAACAAUAUUACUCCAAGAAGGCAAUGUUAUUAGUAGCUCAUGUCUCUACAUAAUGGAAGACUCAAACAAGAUUAAUGACUGCAAUGACUGACUGGGAAGUGACAAUGUAUAAAUAGCUCCUGUACCUCAGGUUGUAUCUUAGCCUCGCAUUCAGCAUCACAUCAUCCAUCAUCCAUGAAGGAAGCCUUCAGAUCCGCGCUGAACCCACAGUAGACACAGAAACAACACAAGCAUAUGGAAAGCAGCGGCGGCACAGCUUGAGCAUCCAGCCAUGGGUGGGGUGAGCCAUGAGAAACAACAUACCGGACACUGGCAUGUGAGCCGUCCCCGUAAGCCUCGGGGAUCUGGUUCGCUUACGCGCGCGUGGCCCCUCCAUCAUGGGUGGUCUCAUCCUCCUGGCAGGAUUCGUCGGCGCAUGAUGGAGCCGCCGCCAGCUCCUUGCUUUGUACCUCUUCGCCACGCCGGCGAAAUGCUCAUCACGCUCCUCGUUUUUGCCUUUGCCGUCAGCAGCGGUCCGGAGGUGAGGCCCGAGGAUCCGGAGAGGCGUGGCCAGCACAAGAGGGGGGCGUGCUGUUUCGCCCAAUCUCCGUGUGCGCUGAAGCUGCCGUCAUGAUCCCACCGUUAGAGAAAGUAUUGAAGUCAUAGAGCUGGGGAUCCCAACUCAUUGAUUUGAUUCCUCCAAACGUCACAUCUCAAUGAUUAUAUAUCCUAAUGAGAAAUAUAAAGAAACUGUCAAUUACUUACCUGUAUCAGAAAUAAAGCACUCUCCGAUAUCUUUGUCAGAUAAAAACUGACUUUGUCCCAUGUACACAUGCAAGCUGACAAUGAGCAGGCAUCUGAGGAUGCAUGAUAAUCAUCCUGGAUUAUAUUUGGCAAGUAGCCGUCCAUUCCUUCCAUGACGAAGCUGGUAAUACAGAUCAUUGAACUCCUUUUUUUAAAACAAUAUUACUCCAAGAAGGCAAUGUUAUUAGUAGCUCAUGUCUCUACAUAAUGGAAGACUAAAACAAGAUUAAUGACUGCAAUGACUGACUGGGAAGUGACAAUGUAUAAAUAGCUCCUGUACCUCAGGUUGUAUCUUAGCCUCGCAUUCAGCAUCACAUCAUCCAUCAUCCAUGAAGGAAGCCUUUAGAUCCGCGCAGAACCCACAGCAGACACAGAAACAACACAAGCAUAUGGAAAGCAGCGGCGGCACAGCUUGAGCAUCCAGCCAUGGGUGGGGUGAGCCGUGAGAAACAACAUAACGGACACUGGCAUGUGCGCCUUCCCCGUAAGCCUCGGGGAUCUAGUUUGCUUACGCGCGCGUGGCCCGUCCAUCCUGGGCGGUCUCAUCCUCCUGGCAGGCUUCGUCGGCGCAUGAUGGAGCCGCCGCCAGCACCUUGCUUUGUACCUCUUUGCCAUGCCGGCGUAAUGCUCANNNNNNNNNNNNNNNNNNNNNNNNNNNNNNNNNNNNNNNNNNNNNNNNNNNNNNNNNNNNNNNNNNNNNNNNNNNNNNNNNNNNNNNNNNNNNNNNNNNNNNNNNNNNNNNNNNNNNNNNNNNNNNNNNNNNNNNNNNNNNNNNNNNNNNNNNNNNNNNNNNNNNNNNCUCCGUGUGCGCUGAAGUUACCCUCAUGGUCCCACCGUUAGAGAAAGUAUUGAAGUCAUGGAGCUGGGGAUCCCAACUCAUUGAUUUGAUUCCUCCAAUCUUCACAUCUCAAUUAUUAUAUAUCCUAAUGAGAAAUAUAAAGAAACUGCCAAUUACUUACCUGUAUCAGAAAUAAAGCACUCUGCGAAACCUUUGUCAGAUAAAAACUGACUUUGUCCCAUGUACACAUGCAAGCUGACAAUGAGCAGGCAUCUGAGGAUGCAUGAUAAUCAUCGUGGAUUAUAUUUGGCAAGUAGCCCUCCAUUCCUUCCAUGACGAAGCUGGUAAUACAGAUCAUUGAACUCCUUUUUUUAAAACAAUAUUACUCCAAGAAGGCAAUGUUAGUAGUGGCUCAUGUCUCUACAUAAUGGAAGACUAAAACAAGAUUAAUGACUGCAAUGACUGACUGGGAAGUGACAAUGUAUAAAUAGCUCAUGUACCUCAGAUUGUAUCUUAGCCUCGCAUUAAAAAUCACAUCAUCCAUCAUCCAUGAAGGAAGCCUUCAGAUCCGCGCUGAACCCACAGCAGACACAGAAACAACACAAGCAUAUGGAAAGCAGCGGCGGCACAACUUGAGCAUCCAGCCAUGGGUGGGGUGAGCCGUGAGAAACAACUUACCGGACACUGGCAUGUGCGCCGUCCACGUAAGCCUCGGGGAUCUGGUUCACUUACGCGCGUGUGGCCCGUCCAUCCUGGGCGGUCUCAUCCUCCUGGCAGGCUUCAUCGGCGCAUGAUGGAGCCGCCGCCAGCUCCUUGCUUUGUACCUCUUCGCCAUGCCGGCGUAAUGCUCAUCACGCUCCUCGUUUUUGCCUUUGCCGUCACCAGCGGUCCGGAGGUGAGGCCCGAGGCUGCGGAGAGGCGUGGCUAGCAGAGGGGGGGGGGCGUGCUGUUUCGCCCAAUCUCCGUGUGCGUUGAAGCUGCCGUCACAAUCCCACAGGUAGAGAAAGUAUUGAAGUCAUGGAGCUGGGGAUCCCAACUCAUUGAUUUGAUUCCUCCAAACUUCACAUCCCAAUGAUUAUAUAUCCUAAUGAGAAAUAUAAAGAAACUGUCAAUUACUUACCUGUAUCAGAAAUAAAGCACUCUGCGAUACCUUUGUCAGAUAAAAACUGACUUUGUCCCAUGUACACAUGCAAGCUGACAAUGAGCAGGCAUCUGAGGAUGCAUGAGAAUCAUCCUGGAUUAUAUUCGGCAAGUAGCGGUCCAUUCCUUCCAUGACGAAGCUGGUAAUACAAAUCAUUGAACUCCUUGUUUUUAAACAAUAUUACUCCAAGAAGGCAAUGUUAUUAGUAGCUCAUGUCUCUACAUAAUGGAAGACUAAAACAAGAUUAAUGACUGCAAUGACUGACUGGGAAGUGACAAUGUAUAAAUAGCUCAUGUACCUCAGAUUGUAUCUUAGCCUCGCAUUAAAAAUCACAUCAUCCAUCAUCCAUGAAGGAAGCCUUCAGAUCCGCGCUGAACCCACAGCAGACACAGAAACAACACAAGCAUAUGGAAAGCAGCGGCGGCACAACUUGAGCAUCCAGCCAUGGGUGGGGUGAGCCGUGAGAAACAACUUACCGGACACUGGCAUGUGCGCCGUCCACGUAAGCCUCGGGGAUCUGGUUCACUUACGCGCGUGUGGCCCGUCCAUCCUGGGCGGUCUCAUCCUCCUGGCAGGCUUCAUCGGCGCAUGAUGGAGCCGCCGCCAGCUCCUUGCUUUGUACCUCUUCGCCAUGCCGGCGUAAUGCUCAUCACGCUCCUCGUUUUUGCCUUUGCCGUCACCAGCGGUCCGGAGGUGAGGCCCGAGGCUGCGGAGAGGCGUGGCUAGCAGAGGGGGGGGGGCAUGCUGUUUCGCCCAAUCUUCGUGUGCGUUGAAGCUGCCGUCACAAUCCCACAGGUAGAGAAAGUAUUGAAGUCAUGGAGCUGGGGAUCCCAACUCAUUGAUUUGAUUCCUCCAAACUUCACAUCCCAAUGAUUAUAUAUCCUAAUGAGAAAUAUAAAGAAACUGUCAAUUACUUACCUGUAUCAGAAAUAAAGCACUCUGCGAUACCUUUGUCAGAUAAAAACUGACUUUGUCCCAUGUACACAUGCAAGCUGACAAUGAGCAGGCAUCUGAGGAUGCAUGAGAAUCAUCCUGGAUUAUAUUCGGCAAGUAGCGGUCCAUUCCUUCCAUGACGAAGCUGGUAAUACAAAUCAUUGAACUCCUUGUUUUUAAACAAUAUUACUCCAAGAAGGCAAUGUUAUUAGUAGCUCAUGUCUCUACAUAAUGGAAGACUAAAACAAGAUUAAUGACUACAAUGACUGACCGGAAAGUGACAAUGUAUAAAUAGCUCCUGUACCUCAAGUUGUAUCUUAGCCUCGCAUUCAGCAUCACAUCAUCCAUCAUCCAUGAAGGAAGCCUUCAGAUCCACGCUGAACCCACAGCAGACACAGAAACAACACAAGCAUAUGGAAAGCAGCGGCGGCACAACUUGAGCAUCCAGCCAUGGGUGGGGUGAGCCGUGAGAAACAACUUACCGGACACUAGCAUGUGCGCCGUCCACGUAAGCCUCGGGGAUCUGGUUCACUUACGCGCGUGUGGCCCGUCCAUCCUGGGCGGUCUCAUCCUCCUGGCAGGCUUCAUCGGCGCAUGAUGGAGCCGCCGCCAGCUCCUUGCUUUGUACCUCUUCGCCAUGCCGGCGUAAUGCUCAUCACGCUCCUCGUUUUUGCCUUUGCCGUCACCAGCGGUCCGGAGGUGAGGCCCGAGGCUGCGGAGAGGCGUGGCUAGCAGAGGGGGGGGGCGUGCUGUUUCGCCCAAUCUUCGUGUGCAUUGAAGCUGCCGUCAUGAUCCCACAGGUAGAGAAAGUAUUGAAGUCAUGGAGCUGGGGAUCCCAACUCAUUGAUUUGAUUCCUCCAAACUUCACAUCCCAAUGAUUAUAUAUCCUAAUGAGAAAUAUAAAGAAACUGUCAAUUACUUACCUGUAUCAGAAAUAAAGCACUCUGCGAUACCUUUGUCAGAUAAAAACUGACUUUGUCCCAUGUACACAUGCAAGCUGACAAUGAGCAGGCAUCUGAGGAUGCAUGAGAAUCAUGCUGGAUUAUAUUCGGCAAGUAGCGGUCCAUUCCUUCCAUGACGAAGCUGGUAAUACAAAUCAUUGAACUCCUUGUUUUUAAACAAUAUUACUCCAAGAAGGCAAUGUUAUUAGUAGCUCAUGUCUCUACAUAAUGGAAGACUAAAACAAGAUUAAUGACUACAAUGACUGACCGGAAAGUGACAAUGUAUAAAUAGCUCCUGUACCUCAAGUUGUAUCUUAGCCUCGCAUUCAGCAUCACAUCAUCCAUCAUCCAUGAAGGAAGCCUUCAGAUCCACGCUGAACCCACAGCAGACACAGAAACAACACAAGCAUAUGGAAAGCAGCGGCGGCACAGCUUGAGCAUCCAGCCAUGGGUGGGGUGAGCCGUGAGAAACAACAUACCGGACACUAGCAUGUGCGCCGUCCCCGUAAGCCUCGGGGAUCUGGUUCGCUUACGCGCGCGUGGCCCGUCCAUCCUGGGCGGUCUCAUCCUCCUGGUAGGCUUCAUCGUCGCAUGAUGGAGCCACCGCCAGCUCCUUGCUUUGUACCUCUUCGCCAUGCCGGCGUAAUGCUCAUCACGCUCCUCAUUUUUGCCUUUGCCAUCACUAGCGGUCCGGAGGUGAGGCCCGAGGCUGCGGAGAGGCGUGGCCAGCAGAGGGGGGGGGCGUGCUGUUUCGCCCAAUCUCUGUGUGCGCUGAAGCUGUCGUCAUGAUCCCACCGUUAGAGAAAGUAUUGAAGUCAUGGAGCUGGGGAUCCCAACUCAUUGAUUUGAUUCCUCCAAACUUCACAUCCCAAUGAUUAUAUAUCCUAAUGAGAAAUGUAAAGAAACUGUCAAUUACUUACCUGUAUCAGAAAUAAAGCACUCUGCGAAACCUUUGUCAGAUAAAAACUGACUUUGUCCCAUGUACACAUGCAAGCUGACAAUGAGCAGGCAUCUGAGGAUGCAUGAGAAUCAUGCUGGAUUAUAUUCGGCAAGUAGCGGUCCAUUCCUUCCAUGACGAAGCUGGUAAUACAAAUCAUUGAACUCCUUUUUUUAAAACAAUAUUACUCCAAGAAGGCAAUGUUAUUAGUAGCUCAUGUCUCUACAUAAUGGAAGACUAAAACAAGAUUAAUGACUGCAAUGACUUACCGGGAACUGACAAUGUAUAAAUAGCUCCUGUACCUCAAGUUGUAUCUUAGCCUCGCAUUCAGCAUCACAUCAUCCAUCAUCCAUGAAGGAAGCCUUCAGAUCCACGCUGAACCCACAGCAGACACAGAAACAACACAAGCAUGUGGAAAGCAGCGGCGGCACAGCUUGAGCAUCCAGCCAUGGGUGGGGUGAGCCGUGAGAAACAACAUACCGGACACUAGCAUGUGCGCCGUCCCCGUAAGCCUCGGGGAUCUGGUUCGCUUACGCGCGCGUGGCCCGUCCAUCCUGGGCGGUCUCAUCCUCCUGGUAGGCUUCAUCGUCUCAUGAUGGAGCCACCGCCAGCUCCUUGCUUUGUACCUCUUCGCCAUGCCGGCGUAAUGCUCAUCACGCUCCUCAUUUUUUCCUUUGCCAUCACUAGCGGUCCGGAGGUGAGGCCCGAGGCUGCGGAGAGGCGUGGCCAGCAGAGGGGGGGCGUGCUGUUUCGCCCAAUCUCUGUGUGCGCUGAAGCUGUCGUCAUGAUCCCACCGUUAGAGAAAGUAUUGAAGUCAUGGAGCUGGGGAUUGAUUUGAUUCCUCCAAACUUCACAUCUCAAUGAUUAUAAAUCCUAAUGAGAAAUAUAAAGAAACUGUCAAUUACUUACCUGUAUCAGAAAUAAAGAACUCUGCGAUACCUUUGUCAGACAAAAACUGACUUUGUCCCAUGCAUACAUGCAAGCUGACAAUGAGCAGGCAUCCAAGGAUGCAUGAUAAUCAUCCUAGAUUAUAUUUGGCAAGUAGCCGUCCAUUCUUCCAUGACAAAGCUGGUAAUACAGAUCAUUGAGCACCUUUCUUUUAAACAAUAUUACUCCAAGAAGGCAAUGUUAUUAGUAGCUCAUGUCUCUACAUAAUGGAAGACUAAAACAAGAUUAAUGACUGCAAUGACUGACUGGGAAGUGACAAUGUAUGAAUAGCUCCUGUACCUUAGGUUGUAUCUUAGCCUCGCAUUCAGCAUCACAUCAUCCAUCAUCUAUGAAGGAAGCCUUCAGAUCCGCGCUGAACCCACAGCAGACACAGAAACAACACAAGCAUAUGGAAAGCAGCGGCAGCACAGCUUGAGCAUCCAGCCAUGGGUGGGGUGAGCAGUGAGAAACAACAUACCGGACACUGGCAUGUGCGCCAUCCCCGUAAGCCUCGGGGAUCUGGUUCGCUUACGCGCGCGUGGCCCGUCCAUCAUGGGCGGUCUCAUCCUCCUGGCAGUCUUCGUCGGCGCAUGAUGUAGCCGCCGCCAGCUCCUUGCUUUGUACCUCUUCGCCAUGCCGGCGUAAUUCUCAUCACGCUCCAUGUUUUUGCCUUUGCCGUCACAAGCGGUCCGGAGGUGAGGCCCGAGGCUGCGGAGAGGCGUGGCCGGCAGAGGGGGGGCGUGCUGUUUCGCCCAAUCUCCGUGUGCGCUGAAUCUGCCGUCACGAUCCCGCCGUUAGAGAAAGUAUUGAAGUCAUGGGGCUGGGAUCCCAACUCAUUGAUUUGAUUCCUCCAAACUUCACAUCCCAAUGAUUAUAUAUCCUAAUGAGAAAUAUAAAGAAAGUGUCAAUUACUUACCUGUAUCAGAAAUAAAGCACUCUGCGAUACCUUUGUCAGAUAAAAACUGACGUUGUCCCAUGUACACAUGCAAGCUGACAAUGAGCAGGCAUCUGAGGAUGCAUGAUAAUCAUCCUGGAUUAUAUUUGGCAAGUAGCCCUCCAUUCCUUCCAUGACGAAGCUGGUAAUACAGAUCAUUGAACUCCUUUUUUUAAAACAAUAUUACUCCAAGAAGGCAAUGUUAUUAGUAGCUCAUGUCUCGACAUAAUGGAAGACUAAAACAAGAUUAAUGACUGCAAUGACUGACUGGGAAGUGACAAUGUAUAAAUAGCUCCUGUACCUCAGGUUGUAUCUUAGCCUCGCAUUCAGCAUCACAUCAUCCGUCAUCCACGAAGGAAGCCUUCAGAUCCGCGCUGAACCCACAGCAGACACAGAAACAACACAAGCAUAUGGAAAGCAGCGGCGGCACAACUUGAGCAUCCAGCCAUGGGUGGGGUGAGCCGUGAGAAACAACAUACCGGACACUAGCAUGUGCGCCGUCCCCGUAAGCCUCGGGGAUCUGGUUCGCUUACGCGCGCGUGGCCUGUCCAUCCUGGGCGGUCUCAUCCUCCUGGCAGGCUUCAUCGGCGCAUGAUGGAGCCGCCGCCAGCUCCUUGCUUUGUACCUCUUCGCCAUGCCGGCGUAAUGCUCAUCACGCUCCUCAUUUUUGCCUUUGCCAUCACCAGCGGUCCGGAGGUGAGGCCCGAGGCUGCGGAGAGGCGUGGCCAGCAGAGGGGGGGUGCUGAUUCGCCCAAUCUCCGUGUGCGCUGAAGCUGCCGUCACGAUCCCACCAUUAGAGAAAGUAUUGAAGUCAUGGAGCUGGGGAUCCCAACUCAUUGAUUUGAUUCCUCCAAACUUCACAUCUCAAUGAUUAUAUAUCCUAACUAGCAUAGUGGCCCGCUCGAUGCGCGGGCUAGAAUUUCAUAUAGAUUUUUUUCGUCAUGAAAACAUAUUAGUAUUUGAUUUCUUUAAAGAAAAAGUUGGAGACAAAUAUGAUGAAAUUUAUGAAUAUACGACUUUUGCGAUCAUAGUUUCGUCUUAGGUAUGCUUGCUUUUUAAUUCAUAUACGAAAAUAUAUACUCCCUCCGUCCAAAAUUCUUGUCUUAGAUUCGUCUAGAUACGGAUGUAUUUAAUACUAAAACGUGACUUGAUACAUCUGUAUUUAGACAAAUCUACGACAUGAAUUUUGGGACGGAGGGAGUAUGUUAUCAAUUUAUCAUUUACUUGCUAAUUAUGCAUAUUGUGCAACUGUAUUUUAUGAUCACUUGUGUUGUCGAAAAUUAUAUUCGUAUGAUAUUUCUUGCAUUGUUACAUUCAAAUUUUUAGCACAAAUUUAAUAGUUCCAUUUUUCUAGGUAGGCAUAGCUAAAUGUGCUAAUGUUGUGCAAGAUUGACAUUUUUUAUUUUAGUGUUUUUGAAUGUAAGUGAAAUAAAUUAGUUUAUGGAGUUAAUUUCAUUUUUUAUACUAUAUAGAAACAUUCAAACUUCCGUGUUAUUUAUUUGUUUGCAUGAUCAUUUGACAUACCUAUGUUAGGACACUGUGCACUAAGAUGGACCAAUGUUUACUCAGGUUUUCACUUUAGCAAAGUUUUUUUUAACAUUGUACACAACUUUCUAAAAUAACAAUAUCAACCUAAUUACUAUUUUUAAAUCGUUGACACUACUAUGUGCAGAGCGGCAUUGGUAUCACGGAUCCCACCCGAUUAAUCCUUCGCUUUCCUCUUUCUGGAGACUUCUUGUCUUCUUAGUGGCUCCCAGCCUUGGAAGUAUCCGAUCCAAGAUUGAUUCACGGCAUGAGAGGAUUACUCUGGAAGCUCCCCUGUUUUUCCUUGUUGGUCGCCCUGACGUGCACACACUCCGUGGCUUAGGUCCAGUGUACCGCCAUGGAUUGUCCUUCUAUGGCAACGUCAUUGGCCCCUCAUGCACUUGGUCGAUCUCCCUUAGAUUUCUAUCAGCCAACGCUCAUAGUCUCUGAUCCAAAACGUCAACAAAGAAUGCUCCUAGUAGCAUUACCACUUCGCCAGUGGCGAAAGCAAAUUUUUCACGGCGAUCAUGCGGGGUAAAUUAGAAUAGAUACCUUAAACACAAUAUGUCAAUACAAAGACUAUGCAUAUUAUUUUAGUCGUGUGCUCUUCUCUCUGUUAGUACAGGACCAUGCCAAUCUAAUGGUUAUUGAUCCAGUGUUGAUUCCAUAUGCAUAGAUUUUGUAUUGAGCAUAGUUAGAUAAUAUCGAGGUCUUCGUAUAAUCUUAACAUUUUUUUGGUUGAAAAAGAAUCAUACCUAUAAACUAUGUAUAGUGUCACAUAGCAUAAAUCUGGCCUAAAAUGGAAAUUAUGAUUCGAAAGAAUCUACAAUGAAUCAUUUAGCUAAUAUUUUGUAAAUAAUUUGUAGUUUGUUCACUGAAAUAAGUAUAACUUUAAUCUACAAAGGCAUGAUGCAUUAAACAACUCCAAAUAAAAAGCCUUGCCAAAGCAAAAUUCCAGAGAUGCGCAUUCAAACAACUGGUACUUAAAUUUCAAAGAUCUUCCUGGACAUAUGCCACCAAAAAAACAUCUCUUUUUGUAGAUUCGGCAAAACAAUUCUUUGUUCCUUUAAUACCAUCAUAUUUUUAAUGGAAUAAGAAAACAAACUACAAAAUCCACAUGCUACAAAAAAGUGAUUUUAUUUUCUCGUGCGCUUUUUCUAUCCUAGAUCUCUAACCGGUUAAUCAUAUUGUGCUCUCAGGAAACAAUUAAUGAAAAACUGCAUAGUUCAUUGAAAUAUAAUGCUACAACAAUACCUUGGCUACAAAUAUGAAUGCAAAAGUAUCCGGAAAACAUGGAUAAGUUAUAGAACCAAAUAGAUAGACUCACAAAAGAAUUUAUGGCCCUUCACACAAAGUGAAACCUAGAAGUAGGUAACAAACGCCUAAAAAAGGAGAAUGAAGCACGUUAGAUACUGGUAUAUAUUUCUAUAACCUGAACGACAAAAGGCUUAGUCAGAUAGAAAAUUCCAUUACAGCUAGGAAUCAUAUUUUAUAUCACUUCAGUAAAAACUAAGCUAAGUCGCAAAUGAAUGUAAGAUGAUAAACCGUUUCUUGCUAGCUAAUUUAUGAAACAACUUAUCUCCGUAGAAUGGAACUGUAGUAUAUGAAAUAAUAAAUAGGCAAGGAGUACUAAAUCCGUGCUUAACUUAAACUGAAGGUCUGCUAUGCAAAACUAACAUGCACAACAACAGUAUAUUUGCAUUUCCCUUGUCGUUAUUUCCACAUGUUCUUGGAGGAAUGCUUUUCCUUUGCUUUUUUUUCAUGUGAUGUCUUGAAAUACAAAGAACUGCAUGAUGGUAACACAACCUUCACGUUUUGAAACCUGCAUGCCUUAGCUAGAUCGUACCUUUAUAAUAAAAUCUAAUAAAUCCUUUAGUUCAGCUUAGCAAUUCCCAGUUCAGGAUGCAGGCGGACGUGAUAUGCUAGGGCUCUUGGUUAGUGUAUUAGCUCAGCAACAUAAUAAUUGUGGAGAUAAACAUGAGAUUGAAAGCUAGUAAAACAAUUGCUAGUUCAUCUACAUUUACUGAGAAUCUACAUCUACUUUUGACUGAAGGGGCACUGUCCCCAACUUUGUCACAGAUUGAAUUGACCUGUAGGCUAAGAUCAGGAGACCUAAGGAAAUUUCAGAAUUCUGGUUACAACAAAGCUGUACCAAUAAGCGUACAUGAAGUGUCGUACCAACUAUUGCUGAACUUGGGUAUCUACAGUAAACAAAAGUACACUGAUUUGAGUGUUGUUAUGUAAAAAGGAUCAAACUGGUCUAGCUAAAUCAGCUGUGUUACAAACCUUCGGCAUGCUAGAGGUUAUGGCACCCACUUUGUUAUUUUCCUUGUUGCACGUGCUUGCAAACACUGCCCGAAAGAACUGUUCCACAAAGACCUCAACAAAGCCAUGUUCAGAGAACCAAUCUGAAACUGAAAGAACUCUUCCACAAGACCACAACAUAUCCAUGUUCAGAGCACCAAUGUAAAACUGAAACUUAUUCUCCAUCCAUGUGCAGACCAAAACACUAUAAAUACAUGUUCCAUACAUAUUACUGUUACAUGGAUCCCAUUAUCAGCACAUCUCUUCUAUGUUCUUCAAUGUUGAUUACUGGAAUAUCAUACAUGUAUAAUUCAUAAGAAAGCAACGGAUGGCUCAAACAAUUAGAUAACUUAGAAGACAAUGUACUGCUUGAUGCAUGCAGCAAUUUUAUGUUACAUAGGAACAGAGAGAGGAAUUAGAAGAAGAUAUACGUACUCCUGAGUCUAGACCAAUACCUAGAACCUUGAGCCUAUAAUGAUUUUUUCUUGCCGGAUAUGGAUGGAGAACUACAGCCAACAAACACAUCGUGAGAAAACACGGAUAAGUAACAGUAUUACUAUGCCUUGUAAUCCACCUUGCUACAGAGCUGAGGAAAACUUAGCUGCUUCCUCAGGAUCGAUACAAUUAUCUGAAGACUGGUAUGUAUAUGUUUGCACGAAUCUCUAUUUAUUUCUCAUCUCUCCCUAUACAAUUAUCUGAUUUCAAGCGAUUAAGGAGAGAAAUAGACGAACUUACUGUGGUUUGCCACUGGGUCAGCUGUACUGAUUCCUGACAUCAUAUUUCACGGUUCAGAUCCAGCAUCCUCUUUUCCUAAAUCAAACAAAAAAAAGUGGGAUCUCCGGUCUAUCAGCCAGGAAGCAAAACUACUCGAAUAGGAGGAUUUAAGAAGGACAACGAUCUCAGAAUCGAGAAGACGUCUGGGAGAGAACACUUGCGUGCCCAAUGGAGGUAUCCUGUGGAGAUUCAUGUGGCAACGGCCGACCGAGUUGUGCGGAUGCAUCUGUCAUCAUAGUCGCCUAUCCUCUUAGAUUGGAAAAGGAUCAUCAAACGCCUAGGCAAGCAUGUGACUUCAAUGCCUCCUCGGUGGUGCCGUGGUGCUCAAGAGAAAUCCCCUGAGGGCAGGCCAUUGGGAGAGCACGUGAUGGAGGAGUUAGGAAUGGGUCGAGCCGUCGAGGUUCCAAUUCUGUAGAGAAGGAUGUUCCUUCGGCAAUGUUGUGUUGAUGCAGGAUGUGGAGCAUGGCGGCGGCGGCGGCUUGAAGUGUCAAGAGGUUAGGGCUCUGUGCGUUUUCUUUUCAUGGGGAGGUCUCGUGGGUCAUUUUUUUUAACUCGUGACCUUUUUCUUUGGGAAGGCUCGUGGGAUUUUUGUACAUCGGCAAGAAACGUGGGUCAUUUUUUUUUUUGAGGAAACGUGGGUCAUUGGGAAAGAGAGGUAAGUUUUUCUUUUCUUUUCUUGUUAUGUUGAAGAGUUAUUUUAUGUAAUGGCACUAGUGGGUAAUUUUCGCUGAUUUAUGUUGCAAAACAAAUUGUCUCCAUCGAACGGUUAUGUUUUCUUUUCCUAUGAAUUAAAUGGCCAGAUCUAUCUAAUUAUUAUGGGAUUUUCUAAAAUAUUUUCUUUUUUCUAGUGAUCCCAUCAAAUACGUUUUAUAUAUAAUAGAUGAGAAAUAUAAAUAAACUGUCAAUUACUUACCUGUAUCAGAAAUAAAGCACUCUGCGAUACCUUUGUCAGAUAAAAACUGACUUUGUCCCAUGUACACAUGCAAGCUGACAAUGAGCAGGCAUAUGAGGAUGCAUGAUAAUCAUCCUGGAUUAUAUUUGGCAAGUAGCCGUCCAUUCCUUCCAUGACGAAGCUGGUAAUACAGAUCAUUGAACUCCUUUUUUUAAA
rnacentral:lncRNA from 1 species